GGUCUGCUGGUGCAAUUGGUAGCGCGUGCUCUUCCAGAACGAAAGGUUAUCUGUUCAAUGUAGGUGUGGGUCA